GUGUUUGCUUCAGCAGCACAUCCACUAAAACUGGAAAAAUACAGAGAAAAUUAGCAUGGUCCCUGCUAACGACAUGCAAAUUUGGGUUUUUUUCAUGAAUAAU